rnacentral:pre_miRNA from 1 species
UACUGAAAUUAGGACGGAAAUUACACCAAUCUACCAACAACGUUAAUUAGUAAACAUCCGGACUAAGUUUAUACCCAAUC